CAUAUUGUAAUAUCACCUCGAAAAAAUUUUUAGACAUUCCUGAACCUGGCCAGUUGUAUGGGAACCCCUUCCUCCGGAUGGGCAAAGCAAAACACCGAGGUUCAACUUUAGGAAACUCAAGUGCUACAAGUGCUAGCUCUAUUAUUUGUGACCAUCAAGUUGAUGAAUGCAAGAUAUUCCUCCGUUCUUUGAAUUCUAACGUGUUGAUGCAUGUCUUCCGGAAAGGGAAUAAAUAUGCGAACGCUCUAACGCGUUUGGGAAGCUAUCGCUCUUAUCAAGGCGAAGCUUCGUUUAAUGAUAUACUUUGUGUGUGUUCUAAUCCAUCUAAUUGUUUAAAGUGUUUACUUUUAGACGAUGCCCAUGUACUUGUUAUGUUUCAAAUUUCAAAUUAGUAGUUUAUUACUUUUACCUGUAACUUAGUUGACUACAAUUAUUCAAUGAAAGUUUUUAAUGAAUUAUCA